rnacentral:rRNA from 1 species
UACGGAGGGUGCGAGCGUUGUCCGGAAUCAUUGGGCGUAAAGGGCGCGUAGGUGGCUGGGCAAGCGUGCGGUGAAAGCUCGGGGCUCAACCCCGAGUCGGCCGUGCGAACUGCCGAGCUUGAGCACUGUAGAGGCAGGCGGUAUUCCGGGUGUAGCGGUGGAAUGCGUAGAGAUCCGGAAGAACACCGGUGGCGAAGGCGGCCUGCUGGGCAGUGGCUGACACUGAGGCGCGACAGCGUGGGGAGCAAACAGG